GACGAACGCUGGCGGCGUGCUUAACACAUGCAAGUUGAACGGAGUACUGGGGAGCUUGCUUUUUAGUACUCAGUGGCAAACGGGUGAGUAACGCGUAAACAACCUGCCUUAGGGAUGGGGACAACAGACGGAAACGACUGCUAAUUCCGAAUUCGAUCCAGAGAGCACAUGAUUUUUGGAAGAAAAGAUGGCCAAUUGAAGAAGCUAUUGCCCAAAGAGGGGUUUGCGUUUGAUUAGGCAGUUGGUGGGGUAACGGCCCCCCAAACCGACGAUCAGUAGCCGGUUUGAGAGGAUGAACGGCCCCCCUGGAACUGAGACACGGUCCAGACUCCUACGGGAGGCAGCAGUGGGGAAUUUUUCGCAAUGGGCGAAAACCUGACGGAGCAACGCCGCGUGAGUGAAGAAGGCCUUCGGGUUGUAAAGCUUUGUUAAUCGGGACGAACGGCCCUGCGAACAAUACGCGCAGGGAAUGACGGUUCCAGCAAAGAAAGCCCCGGCUAACUACGUG
rnacentral:rRNA from 1 species